AUGCAGCUGACGAGUCCUAAAUAGGAGGAAGUGUACAUCCGGGAU
rnacentral:hammerhead_ribozyme from 1 species